rnacentral:lncRNA from 1 species
CUCCAUCCUCAUAACCAUACGGAUACGAAUCCCCGAAAAGGUAGUCUGAAGUCGUCUUCCACGGAUCAGAAUCCGCGCUAUCCCAGCAGGUAACUUCAGCCGCACGGUUCUCAUCCUCUAGGCGUCUUUUGUUACGUAAGAAACAAGGAAAGUAGCCUCCGAAUAUAACCUCGCAGAGAUCAGUGGCUUCUAAGCCGUAACCAGACGGAACAUACAGAGCUUUCACUUCAACUUUAUCUACUGUUUCAGGUUGCACGGUCCCAUUGCUUAAACUGUGAUCUUCUUCUUCCUCUGCCUCUUCUUGAUGAUCAUUUUCUUCUUCUUUAAUGGUUUCUAAUGGUUUGGCUUCCUCUAACGGCUCAGAGAAAGUCACACGUUUCUUAACAGCUUUCUUUUCACCACCAUCAUAUAUUCCAAGAGGAACCGGAGCGAUGAUCUCCGGAGGAG